UAAGACGAACCACACAAACGUUAUUCGGAAUUACUGGGCUUAAAGGGUGCGUAGGCGGCGCGGAAAGUUGGGUGUGAAAUCCCUCGGCUCAACCGAGGAACUGCGCCCAAAACUACCGUGCUCGAGGGAGAUAGAGGUGAGCGGAACUUAGGGUGGAGCGGUGAAAUGCGUUGAUAUCCUAAGGAACACCCGUGGCGAAAGCGGCUCACUGGGUCUCUUCUGACGCUGAGGCACGAAAGCUAGGGUAGCGAACGGGAUUAGAUACCCCGGUAGUCCUAGCCGUAAACGAUGAGCACUGGGUUGGAGGAUCCCUCAUAGUCCUCCAGCCGCAGCGAAAGUGUUAAGUGCUCCGCCUGGGGAGUAUGGUCGCAAGGCUG
rnacentral:rRNA from 1 species